UUAUGAACCAAGCGAAUGCUAAUAAGAGCAAAUCUGAGUCCGUCAUCGAGUCAAGCCCAGCACAGAAGAAAAUCAAAAUGGAAGACAGCAAGUACCUCCCGGAGCUCCUGGCUGAAAAGGACAGCUUGGAUUCUUCGUUCACACACGCCAUGAAGCUUAUUUCUGCAGAGAUUGAGAGGAUCCAGAAAGGUGAUACCAAGAAAGAGCCAGAGAAGGAAGCAUAUCUGGACCUGUUUGCUACCAAGAAUCUCAAACUCAAAGAGCGAGUACUCAUUCCCACCAAACAGUACCCUAGGGUCAACUUUGUCGGUAAGCUUUUGGGACCUCAGGGUAGCACAAUUAAGAGACUCCAGGAGGACACUGGUGCAAAAAUUUCAGUUCUGGGUAAAGGUUCCAUGAGGGACAAAAAUAAGGAGGAAGAGCUGAGGAAGGGCGGCGAGGCUAAAUAUGCUCACCUGGCCAUGGAGUUGCAUGUGUUCAUUGAAGUGACGGCACCCAUCCCAGAAGCCUAUCUGCGAAUGGCUCAUGCCAUGGAGGAAGUCAAGAAGUUCCUUAUCCCAGAACCUGGUGAGCAUGACCCGUAUAUGGAUCCUCACUUCUUGAAUGGAUCCCAGGAUGGUUCAGGCAGGGGGCGAGGUGGUCACCUAGGAAGGGGCAGAGGUGGACCUCCCGGUGCUGGAGGACCAAGGGGGCGAGGAAUGCCACGUGGGGGCCCACGAGGAGCAAUGCGUGGUGGAGCUCCACGGGGAGGACUAGGACGGGGCAGCGCCCCUAGAGGUGCACCAUCUGGUAGGGGUGGUCUACCUUCUGCACCUACUAGAGGAGGCUCAGCUCCCCGCUCUAGACCCCCUGCAGCUGGGGCACCAAGAAUGCUCCCCUCCUCAGCCCUGUCCCACCAGCAACACCAAGUUCCUCCUUCAGCAUCACAGCCCAAAGCUGAUGCCUAUGAGGACUAUCCUCCAUAUGAAGAAUCCUAUGCAGAGCCUGCCUAUGAAGGAUAUGAUAGUUAUUAUAGUCAGCAGUCUGCACCUGCGGAUACUGAAUACUAUGAUUACGGACACGGGGAGGCCCAGGAUUCAUCAUAUGAGCCUUAUGCUCAAGAUGACUGGGACAACUCAUGGUCCAACUCUGGGGCCGGAGGCAAAGCCCCCCCGUCCAGACAGUCGAAGGGAUCGUAUAGAGAACAUCCAUAUGGAAGAUACUGAACGGCUACUGGUAGAGAGUUGCUGUGGCAACUGUCUCCGAUUGUAACUCGCUUAACUUUUCAAAAGUUGUCAGAGAACUGUGUAGAUGCAGUUGACACAAUAAUCGCCAGCUUACCGGGCCUUUUUAAGGUUCAUUGAAAGUCCCUGGAGAGAGCAGAGGCCUUGCAGUGUCUCUGAGACUGAUCACCUCUUACUCAGUACUGAUCCCAUGAUCAGUUCAAAAAAAAAAAAAAAAAUGGAGAGAAAGCUUUCUUCCUCACUGAGAAAAUGUUCUGCUCUUCUGAAAUAUUGCUGAAGUAUUGAAAGAAAUACGUUUUUUUGUUGAAGACGUUCUGUAUGAUCAUUGAUCAUGUGGAAUUUUGUCUUUUGAAUGUGUCUAGAUUUUCCAUAUUUUUACACUGAAGACAUUUAGCUGUCUUUUUAUAAAAAAAAGAAACUGAAAAUAAAGGUCUUUUUUUAAUUAAAUUGUUUGUUGUAAGAAGUCUGUCUUUACAUGUGAUACAUCAGAUUACCGAAAGUGAACUGUAAGGAUUAGCAGGAUAAUUUGUUUUCUACCUAACAUCGUGCAAAGCUUUCAUUGAGGAUAAAUUGAACUUAUGCCUUUCAUCUCAUAGCCAUUUGUUGGCAAAGUCAUCAAAAAGGUUUUUCAUUAACUAAGCUCUUAACAUCAAAUGUGAGUGUUUUGAGUUUCUGUCUGAGCUAAUCACAGCACUGGAACAGCUCUCACUAAUGUCCUAAAUAACGUGCGCCCUAAUACUGAUACAGGAGAACCUGAAAGUCCUAGUAGUGUCGGGUCUUAGUUCAGCCUUUGAUACUAGAUCAAAACAUGACUACACAGACUGGAACAUUGGGUUGGAUUUUCAGGUACAGUAAUUAAGUGGCUAAGAUCAUGCUUAGAAGACCUUAGAAGCCUUUUUGUUUCCCUCAAAAUUAUACCACACCACCAACAUCUUUGACUCGUGGUGUCCCCCAGGGAUCGAUCUUAGGGUCUUUACUAUUCCACCUUUAUAUGCUUCCACUUGGAGAAAUUACAAUACAGUAAAAUUUCUUAUGCAGAUGAUACCCAAAGGUAUCGCAAGUGGGCCAACAUCAUAUUUGAUCAUUAUCAUUAAAAUACAAAGUGCUCUGAGAAGGCGUUAUUGAAUUGUUGUGAAUUGUUAUGGGUUUGGAGGUGGGCUGCCAGCAUUUUUGAGAUUUUCAAGUGGGCCAUGAGUUGGAAAAGGUUGAGAACCACUGCCCUAGAGUUUCUUAGUCAAUGCAUUGACCAGAUUAACUACUGGAUUUUCUUCAUCUGAACAGGGCCAAAACUGAAAAAAUCUUAUAGGUAAGAAUGAAGACAGACUUGGCAGAGAGAAUUGGCAUUCAUCUCAAUAUAAAAGGACUUAAAGUGAAAGAUAAUUCUUAAAAACUUUGGUGUCUUAAUUGACAGCAAUCUCAGAUAAAAAAAAACCAAACAAACAUAAAAGCCGUAACUAAAAACCUUUUUACAAUGUCAAAAACAUAGUCAAACUUAGAGGUCUAAUGAUAACAAUUGGAAAAAACAUAUUCAUGCUUUUAUGUCCAGCAGGAUUGACUACUUUAAUGGUCUUUUCACAGGCCUUCCUAUAAAGACCAUCAAACAGCUUUAGCUUGUACAAAACGCAGCUGCUUGUGUCCUCACGAGAACCAAAAGAACUGACCACAUUACUCCAAUAAGUCCUUCCACUGGCUUUUGGUACAUCCGGUGAAUCAGUACAUGGGGCAUGACCAAAAUACCCCUCAGAUAUGUUUCAGCAGUACACACCUGCUAAGCUACUCAGAUCACAGGAGAGAAAUGUGUUAGUAAUACUGUCAGAACUAAACAUGUGAAGCAGCUUUUAGCUGCUAUGCUGCUCAACUCUAGAACCAACGUCCUGAUGGUAUCAAAGCUGCUCCAACUGUGGCCUGUUUCAAGUCUAAAUUGUUCUGAGAUCCCUUUGUUAAGUGAUCAAAUGUACUGUACUUUCUCCCAAUGAAUGUACUCUUUUCUUUUUAACCUCUUGUUUUUAUUUCUAUUUAUUUUUUUUUCCUUUUAUGUUCUUGUAUUUGCUCAUUUUUAAAGUACUUUGAGUUGCCAGUGUGUAUUAGUGUUUUAUAAAUAAACUUGCCUUGCCUUA